rnacentral:tRNA from 2 species
GGCUCUGUAGCUCAGUUGGUUAGAGCAGGGGACUCAUAAGCCCAAGGUCAUGUGUUCAAGUCACAUCAGAGCCA